rnacentral:rRNA from 1 species
GCAUAUCAAUAAGCGGAGGAAAAGAAACCAACAGGGAUUGCCUUAGUAACGGCGAGUGAAGCGGCAACAGCUCAAAUUUGAAAGCUGGCCCUUUUAGGGUCCGCAUUGUAAUUUGUAGAGGAUGAUUCGGCGAGGGCUCCUGCCUAAGUCCCCUGGAACGGGGCGUCAUAGAGGGUGAGAAUCCCGUAUGCGGUAGGUUGCCUUAGCCAUGUGAAUCUCCUUCGACGAGUCGAGUUGUUUGGGAAUGCAGCUCUAAAUGGGAGGUAAAUUUCUUCUAAAGCUAAAUACCGGCCAGAGACCGAUAGCGCACAAGUAGAGUGAUCGAAAGAUGAAAAGCACUUUGGAAAGAGAGUUAAAAAGUACGUGAAAUUGUUGAAAGGGAAGCGCUUGCAACCAGACUUGUCCGCAGUUGCUCAGCCGGUCUCCUGACCGGCGUACUCUUCUGCGGCCAGGCCAGCAUCAGUUCGGGCGGUCGGAUAAAGGCCUCGGGAAUGUGGCUCCUCUCGGGGAGUGUUAUAGCCCGGGGUGCAAUGCGGCCAGCCUGGACUGAGGAACUCGCUUCGGCAAGGAUGCUGGCGUAAUGGUUGUAAGCGGCCCGUCUUGAAACACGGACCAAGGAGUCUAACAUCUAUGCGAGUGUUCGGGUGUCAAACCCGUACGCGUAAUGAAAGUGAACGGAGGUGGGAACCCGCAAGGGUGCACCAUCGGCCGAUCCUGAUGUCUUCGGAUGGAUUUGAGCAAGAGCAUAGCUGUUGGGACCCGAAAGAUGGUGAACUAUGCCUGAAUAGGGUGAAGCCAGAGGAAACUCUGGUGGAGGCUCGCAGCGGUUCUGACGUGCAAAUCGAUCGUCAAAUUUGGGUAUAGGGGCGAAAGACUAAUCGAACCAUCUUG